AUUCUGCCCAUGCGGGGAAGGAUGAGAAGCCUCGACCAAGGUUCGACUCGAGCGCCAGCGAGAGAGCGUUGCCGCAGGCAACGACCCGAAGGGCGAAGCGCGCA
rnacentral:sRNA from 1 species